UGAAUGCCGGUGUGUUUCUAGGUAAUGCUGAUGACUACUGUGUGGUUUGUUCCAUGCUGGAAGCCGAUCCUGAGUCCAGUAUGAUUGAAAUGGUGCAGUGUGAGUUUUGUCUCAGAUGGGCACAUUUUGGAUGUGCUCAAUAUGAGAGCAGCCUGGUCAAGUACUUGUGCGACAAAUGUGCAUAAUUGUUAUGAAUACUGUUUCUUUUCCACUUCUUUCUCCCUGUGUUCUGUUGGAUCUGUAAAUAUCAAAUAUAUAUAUCUGUAAAUAUAUGCUGUCAGUCACAGUAAAGUACAAAGAGCAGCCUGGUCAAGUACUUGUGUAAAAAAAAAAA